AUUAGAUAAAAAACCAAUGCCCUUCGGGGCUCCUUGGUGAUUCAUAAUAACUUAACGAAUCGCAUGGCCUUGCGCCGGCGAUGGUUCAUUCAAAUUUCUGCCCUAUCAACUUUCGAUGGUAGGAUAGUGGCCUACCAUGGUGGCAACGGGUAACGGGGAAUUAGGGUUCGAUUCCGGAGAGGGAGCCUGAGAAACGGCUACCACAUCCAAGGAAGGCAGCAGGCGCGCAAAUCACCCAAUCCCGACACGGGGAGGUAGUGACAAUAAAUACUGAUACGGGGCUCUUUUGGGUCUCGUAAUUGGAAUGAGUACAAUCUAAAUCCCUUAACGAGGAACAAUUGGAGGGCAAGUCUGGUGCCAGCAGCCGCGGUAAUUCCAGCUCCAAUAGCGUAUAUUAAAGUUGUUGCAGUUAAAAAGCUCGUAGUUGAACCUUGGGUCUGGCUGGCCGGUCCGCCUCACCGCGAGUACUGGUCCGGCUGGAUCUUUCCUUCUGGGGAACCUCAUGGCCUUCACUGGC
rnacentral:rRNA from 1 species